rnacentral:rRNA from 1 species
AAACAUGUUUGUAAGUUUAUGUUUAUGAUUUAAUCUGCUCUAUGCAGUCAAUAGCUGCGGUAUUUUAACUGUACAAAGGUAGCAUAAUAAUUAGUUUUUUAAUUGAGAACUUGUAUGAACGAUUGAAUAUAAAAUUUUUAAUUAUAUAUGAAUUUUAUUUUUAAUUUAAAAAGAUUAAAUUAAUAAAAGGGACGAGAAGACCCUAUAGAAUUUAAUAACUUGGUUUAUUUAUUGGGGUGAUAAAAUUAACAUUCAUUUCAUAUUUGUGACUUGUGAUCUUGAAGAAAAUAAGUUUAAAUUACCUUAGGGAUAACAGCAUAAUUUUUAUUUAAAGUUCUUAUUUAAAUAAGAGAUUAUGACCUCGAUGUUGAAUUGAUAAUUCUUAGGAGUAGAAAUUAAGUU